CCCAACACUGCCACAGUUCCACUAGAUCACAACCAAACCCCAACAGAGCUCAACACCAUCACAGUUCAGCUAGAUCACAACCAACCAAAUUCCAACAAAGGCCAACACUGCCACAGUUCCACUAGAUCACAACCAACCAAAUCCAACAGAGCCCAAAACCGCCACAGUUCUGCUAGAUCACAACCAAACCCCAACAGAGCCCAACACCACCACAGUUCCACUAGAUCACAGCCAAACCCCAACAGAGCCCAACACCACCACAGUUCUGCUAGAUCACAACCAAACCCCAAGAGAGCCCAACACCACCACAGUUCCGCUAGAUCACAACCAAACCCCAACAGAGCCCAACACCACCACAGUUCUGCUAGAUCAGAGGCAAAUCCCAACAGAGCCCAAAACCGCCACUGUUCUGCUAGAUCACAACCAAACCCACAGAGCCCAACACCGCCACAGUUCCACUAGAUCACAACCAAACCCCAACAGAGCCCAACACCACCACAGUUCCGCUAGAUCACAACCAACCAAAUCCCAACAAAGGCCAACACUACCACAGUUCCGCUAGAUCACAACCAACCAAAUCCAGAGCCCAACACUGCCACAGUUCCGCUAGAUCACAACCAACCAAAUCCAGAGCCCAACACUGCCACAGUUCCACUAGAUCACAGCCAAACCCCAACAGAGCCCAACACCGCCACUGUUCUGCUAGAUCACAGUCAACCAAACCCCAACAGAGCCCAACACCACCACAGUUCUGCUAGAUCACAACCAAACCCCAACAGAGCCCAACACCACCACAGUUCCGCUAGAUCACAACCAAACCCCAACAGAGCCCAACACCACCACAGUUCCACUAGAUCACAACCAACCAAAUCCCAACAAAGGCCAACACUACCACAGUUCUGCUAGAUCACAACCAACCAAAUCCAGAGCCCAACACUGCCACAGUUCCGCUAGAUCACAACCAACCAAAUCCAGAGCCCAACACUGCCACAGUUCCACUAGAUCACAGCCAAACCCCAACAGAGCCCAACACCGCCACUGUUCUGCUAGAUCACAGUCAACCAAACCCCAACAGAGCCCAACACCGCCACAGUUCUGCUAGAUCACAGUCAACCAAACCCCAACAGAGCCCAACACCGCCACAGUUCCGCUAGAUCACAACCAAACCCCAACAGAGCCCAACACCGCCACAGUUCCGCUAGAUCACAACCAAACCCCAACAGAGCCCAACACCGCCACAGUUCCGCUAGAUCACAACCAAACCCCAACAGAGCCCAACACAGCCACAGUUCCGCUAGAUCACAGUCAACCAAACCCCAACAGAGCCCAACACAGCCACAGUUCCGCUAGAUCACAGUCAACCAAACCCCAACAGAGCCCGACACCACAGUUCCACUCACAACCAAACCCCAACAGAGCCCAACACUGCCACAGUUCCACUAGAUCACAACCAAACUCCAGAGCCCAACACAGCCACAGUUCCACUAGAUCACAGUCAACCAAACCCCAACAGAGCCCAACACCGCCACAGUUCCGCUAGAUCACAGCCAAAUUCCAACAGAGCCCAACACAGCCACAGUUCCGCUAGAUCACAGUCAACCAAACCCCAACAGAGCCCAACACCGCCACAGUUCCACUAGAUCACAGCCAUAUUCCAACAGAGCCCAACACCGCCACAGUUCCACUAGAUCACAACCAAACUCCAGAGCCCAACACAGCCACAGUUCCACUAGAUCACAGUCAACCAAACCCCAACAGAGCCCAACACCACCACAGUUCCACUAGAUCACAGUCAACCAAACCCCAACAGAGCCCAACACCACAGUUCCGCUCACAACCAAACCCCAACAGAGCCCAACACCGCCACAGUUCUGCUGGAUCGCAACCAACCAAAUCCCAAUGAAGCCACGCGUGUGGACAAGAUAAACCCAUGACUGCUGAGAUCACAAGGUCCCUAUCUGAGUUUCUCUGCGACAAAUCUUCCCAAAGUUUAUUAAGAACACACAGCUUAAUGAAAUCAUUUGUUGAUCUCCC
rnacentral:lncRNA from 1 species